AGUGGCGGACGGGUGAGUAACGCGUGAGAAUCUGCCUUGGGGUCGGGGACAACCACUGGAAACGGUGGCUAAUACCGGAUAAGCCGAUUGGUGAAAGAUUUAUUGCCCGAAGAGGAGCUCGCGUCUGAUUAGCUAGUUGGUGAGGUAAGAGCUCACCAAGGCAGCGAUCAGUAGCUGGUCUGAGAGGACGAUCAGCCACACUGGGACUGAGACACGGCCCAGACUCCUACUGGAGGCAGCAGUGGGGAAUUUUCCGCAAUGGGCGAAAGCCUGACGGAGCAAGACCGCGUGAGGGAGGAAGGCUCUUGGGUUGUAAACCUCUUUUCUCAGGGAAGAAGCUCUGACGGUACCUGAGGAAUCAGCCUCGGCUAACUCCGUGCCAGCAGCCGCGGUAAUACGGAGGAGGCAAGCGUUAUCCGGAAUUAUUGGGCGUAAAGCGUCCGCAGGUGGCGAUUCAAGUCUGCUGUCAAAGCACGGGGCUUAACUCCGUAAAGGCAGUGGAAACUGAAUAGCUAGAGUGCCGUAGGGGUAGAGGGAAUUCCCGGUGUAGCGGUGAAAUGCGUAGAGAUCGGGAAGAACAUCGGUGGCGAAAGCGCUCUACUGGACGGCAACUGACACUCAGGGACGAAAGCUAGGGGAGCGAAUGGGAUUAGAUACCCC
rnacentral:rRNA from 1 species